AGUGUUUUCACAAAAUGGAUAGAUGACGCGUCCGAGCUGGUGUUCUUGCAAUUCAUGCAACUCCUCAGUUUGUAACAAGAAAUCCGGAAAUGUUAAUUGUGUCUCAUACCGCGCUUUUAAAGGAAUCCUUAGCAGUUACAAUCUAGGUCACCGCAUCAGUCUAGCAGAAUGUUUUAGAGGACUUCAUGAUACCUUCUGCUGAGGAUCUGUAUGGAGAUGCAGAUUUCAUCUUCCAGCAGGACCUGGCUCCUGCCCAUACCGCUGGAAGCAGGUUUGAUGCCCAUGCCAUCACAGUGCUUGACUGGCCAGCCAACUCACCGGACCUAAACCCCCCAUUGCUAAUACCCCUUCUAUUAGCAAGAUGAAAAUGAGGGGCACCAGACCCAAAAAAAAAGAAAAGCUGACAGCAAGCAUCAAGGAAAUCUGGGCUCCCAUAACUCCCAGCCAAUGCCACAGGAUGAUUGCCUCAAUGCAACAACACAUCGAGGCAGUAAUUAAGGCAAAAGGUUUCCCUACAAAAAACUGAGAAGUAAAUCGUGAUUUCUUCACAAUCCAAUUUUUUUGAAAUCAUAAUUUUGUGGCCUUUAUGAACUGGAAGCCCAAUUCAUG